GGGUAGUGAACCAUUUUUGUCGUCAGUUUAUUGUGGAUGGUAGUUCAUACGCCAUGCAGUCGCGAGUGCAGACCAUGGUUUGGUGGUAGACAGUGGAAAGUGGUGGUGAAAAGGGAAGGGGUUUAUGAAGAGAAAAAGAAAUUCUAAAGAAAGGUUUUAGUGAGAAACAUUCAGCUGGUCAAAAUGGGGGUAGUGGGGUUGGUUUUUCCUAGGUGAAAAAUAGGUGAUGGUUAUGAUUUGAUGGGUGAAGGGUUUUUUUUUAAAAAGGGUGGACGGUUGGGGAGAGAGGGAUGAGUUAAAAUGGGGUAUGGGGUUGUAGUUUUCUAGGUGAAAAGAUGGAUGUGAUAGGUGAAAGUUUAGGAUUUGAUAGGUGAUAGGCUGAUGGGUGUAGGGUUUUUUUUUAUUUGAAAAGGGUUGGAUGGUUGGGGGUGAAAAUUUUGGGUUUUAAUUUUUGAUUUUUGAUUUUGGGUAGGUAUGAUGGGUUUGGGUUUUUGGUUAAUGGGUUAGCUUGGGCAUGGGAUUGGUUUAAAUGAUGGGUAGGUAGAGUGGGCCUUGGCUGAAAUAAAAAGAAUUUUUGUGGGCUGACAAGUUGGAAUGUCUACCUGCAAAAU
rnacentral:lncRNA from 1 species